CAAAGAAUAGUUUAAAUUAAAAUUAUAAUUUUGGAGAUUAUAGAUAAAGAAAUUCUUUUUCUUUGA
rnacentral:tRNA from 1 species